rnacentral:rRNA from 1 species
GGGGGGGGGGGGGGGGGGGGGGGGGGGGGGGAAGGGGAGCGAGCAGGCGGGGGGGGGGGGGCAGUGAGGUGAGGGGCGGGAGGGGGAGGAACGAGGGGAUCACCGAGCGAUAAGACUGGGAUAAAUUCGGGAAACCGGGGCUAAUACCGGAUAAUCGAUAGAACGGGAUGGGUCAAUAGUAGAAAAAGGGUUAGCUGGCACGUUAAGAUGGAUCCGCCACGCAGUAGCUAGUUGGUCAGGUAACGGCUUACCAAGGCAACGAUGCGUAGCCGACCUGAGAGGGUGAUCGGCCACACUGGAACUGAGACACGGUCCAGACUCCUACGGGAGGCAGCAGUAGGGAAUCUUCCGCAAUGGGCGAAAGCCUGACGGAGCAACGCCGCGUGAGUGAUGAAGGUCUUCGGAUCGUAAAACUCUGUUAUUAGGGAAGAACAAAUGUGUAAGUAACUAUGCACGUCUUGACGGUACCUAAUCAGAAAGCCACGGCUAACUACGUG